rnacentral:sRNA from 1 species
UUUCGUUAUCCUUCGCCAUCUAUUUGACACAUCUGGUUUAUCACACAUAAAAAAAGCGGCUGCAAAGCCGCUUGUUCUGUAUUG